UACAGAGGGGGCAAGCGUUGUUCGGAAUUACUGGGCGUAAAGGGCGCGUAGGCGGCCUGCUAAGUCGAACGUGAAAUCCCUGGGCUCAACCCAGGAACUGCGUCCGAUACUGGUUGGCUUGAAUCCGGGAGAGGGAUGCAGAAUUCCAGGUGUAGCGGUGAAAUGCGUAGAUAUUGGGAGGAACACCAGUGGCGAAGGCGACUACCUGGCCUGUUCUUGACGCUGAGGCGCGAAAGCUAGGGGAGCAAACGGG
rnacentral:rRNA from 1 species